rnacentral:rRNA from 1 species
ACGGGUGAGUAACACGUGAGCAAUCUGCCCUUCACUUUGGGAUAACUUCCGGAAACGGAAGCUAAUACCGAAUACGACCACUUCACGCAUGUGAUGGUGGUGGAAAGUUCCGGCGGUGAAGGAUGAGCUCGCGGCCUAUCAGCUUGCUGGUGAGGUAAUGGCUCACCAAGGCUUCGACGGGUAGCCGGCCUGAGAGGGUGACCGGCCACACUGGGACUGAGACACGGCCCAGACUCCUACGGGAGGCAGCAGUGGGGAAUAUUGGACAAUGGGCGAAAGCCUGAUCCAGCAACGCCGCGUGAGGGAUGACUGCCUUCGGGUUGUAAACCUCUUUCAGCGGGGACGAAGCGAAAGUGACGGUACCCGCAGAAGAAGCACCGGCCAACUACGUGCCAGCAGCCGCGGUAAUACGUAGGGUGCGAGCGUUGUCCGGAAUUAUUGGGCGUAAAGGGCUCGUAGGCGGUUUGUCACGUCGGGAGUGAAAACUCAGGACUCAACCCUGAGCCUGCUUCCGAUACGGGCAGACUAGAGGUAUGCAGGGGAGAACGGAAUUCCUGGUGUAGCGGUGAAAUGCGCAGA